UACAGAGGGUGCGAGCGUUAAUCGGAUUUACUGGGCGUAAAGGGCGCGUAGGCGGUGAUGUGAGUGUGAUGUGAAAGCCCCGGGCUUAACCUGGGAAGUGCAUCGCAAACGACAUGACUGGAGUAGAUGAGAGGGUGGCGGAAUUUCCGGUGUAGCGGUGAAAUGCGUAGAGAUCGGAAGGAACACCAGCGGCGAAGGCGGCUUUCUGGACCAAUACU
rnacentral:rRNA from 1 species